rnacentral:ncRNA from 2 species
UAAUCAGAUAGAGGUGCAUUUUCAAUUAGUCACAUUUUUCGAGUACGUUAGGGUACUUUGACAAAAAUGUAAAAGGUGAAAUUGCCGAAACGAACUCGCCCCUAAUGGUGUGUUUUGUUGGGACGUUACUUAAUAAGUAGCGGACUGUCGCAAUUUAAUUGCGUUGAGCUAUUGAUCAU